GACGAGGGUCCAAGCGUUGUCCGGAUUUACUGGGCGUAAAGAGCGCGUAGGCGGCUCGUUAAGUGUAGAGUGAAAUCUCUGGGCUCACCCCAGAAACCGCUGUGCAUACUGGCGAGCUGGAGUGUCGGAGAGGUAUGUGGGAAUUCCUGGUGUAGCGGUGAAAUGCGUUGAUAUCAGGAGGAACACCCAUGGCGAAGGCAGCAUACUGGCCGACCACUGACGCUGAGGCGCGAAAGCGUGGGUAGCAAACAGG
rnacentral:rRNA from 1 species